GCCAGGGGUGGUGGCACAUGCCUGUAAUCCCAGCUGCUUGGAGGCUGAGACAGGAGGAUCACAAGUUCAAGGCCAGCCUGAGUAAUUUGGUGAGACCUUGUUUCAA
rnacentral:sRNA from 1 species